ACGAGUUGUGGAGUCUGCUGAAGAACGAGUUGGAGUCUGGGAGACGUUUAGACAAACACAAGCAAAUUUUUUUUCAAUCCCGCAGAGGGCAAAACCGUCCAACGAGACAACCCCGCGCAGAGGCAAAAGCCCCACGCUUGAGAGUGAGAAGAAACAGACGCAUCGCUUCCUUGUCCAUCCUACCUCCCCUUCCCCCCGCCCAAAUCCCGUGACGGUCGCCGCCCCCGCCGUGCUCUCGCCCGCGCGGGAGACGACGCAGCACCCCCCCGCGUAGGAUCCGCGGCGGUCGGCAGGAUGGUGGUGGCCACGGAGGAAAUGGUGGUCUACUGCUUUGACACCCUCGUCGCCUAUUUCACCGGCGAGCGGCCGCCGCCUCCCGCCUUCGAGGAUGGAAACCACCCAUUGUUUGUGACCUGGAAGAAGGCUGCCAAUGGUUCAGAACCACGCCUCCGGGGAUGCAUAGGAACUCUGGAGUCCCGUCAGAUUGUCAGCGGCUUUAGGGACUACGCCCUAACUAGUGCGCUGAGGGACCGACGCUUUCCCCCAAUACAAUCAAAGGAACUCCCAACCUUGGAGUGCACGGUAUCUAUACUCACUGAUUAUGAAAUUGCAGAGGACUACCUCGACUGGGAGGUUGGAAAGCAUGGUUUAAUUAUUGAAUUUACAGCUCCAGACUCCAACACAAAACACAGUGCGACCUAUUUGCCUGAAGUUGCGGGCCAUGAAGGUGAAAAUUUCCUUUUUCAUCGAUGCGAUGUACACUUAUCGUUUCUACAGAGUUCUUUAGUUUCUAGAAUUAUUGCAGGGGAUAAUAAGAAGAAAUGAGUUAAGAAAAUAUGUAAUUUCAUCUUUCUAAAUCAUCAUGGACCAAAUGCAUUAUAAUGAGCAAUAACGGUUGGACACAUGUAGAAACUAUUGAUUCACUCGUGAGGAAGGCAGGUUACCAGAGAAUCAUCACUGAGUCCUUGAGGAAGAAAAUCAAAGUCACUCGCUACCAGAGCACCCUGUACACGAUGCACUAUGGUGAAUAUGUUGCGUACCUCAAGAAGAACAGAGGUGCAGCCCCGUCAAUUAGUGGGGCUCCUCCUGUAGUUAAUGGCUUCAAGCCAAGCCAUUGAUUUAUCAGUAUAAAAAAAAGCUCAAAGAACAUAUUACUAUAAUUUAUCUGCGAGCAAUUUGGGGGGUGUAGUGUAACCACCCCCCACAGUUCAUUGAUCUAGCAUCAUUCCCUUCCAAGGAAAAGGCCAAAUAGGGGCGUCAUGACAAGCGCCCAGAAUAAUAAUGCCUUCCUGGAUGGAUCAUGGAUGAUGCUUAUGUAUCUUGAAAACACAUGUGCUUCAAGAAGUUCAAAUUGUGUGGUGAAGUUAAUUGAUUCGAGUUGGCCAUUCCUAGUUCCA